GACCCCGUUAAAGGUAGGGGGGAUAAACAGUUUAGGAAACAGAUGACUAAUACCGCAAUAAAACCUAACACCGCAGUGGUGGUAGGGUUGAAAGAUGGUUUCGGCUAUCACUUUAGGAUCGGACCCGCGGUGCAUUAGUUAGUUGGUGAGGUAAGGCUCACCAAGACCGUGAUGCAUAGCCGACCUGAGAGGGUAAUCGGCCACACUGGGACUGAGACACGGCCCAGACUCCUACGGAGGCAGCAGUAGGGAAUCUUCCACAAUGGACGAAAGUCUGAUGGAGCAACGCCGCGUGAGUGAAGAAGGUUUUCGGAUCGUAAAACUCUGUUGUUGGAGAAGAAUGUAUCUGAUAGUAACUGAUCAGGUAGUGACGGUAUCCAACCAGAAAGCCACGGCUAACUACGUG
rnacentral:rRNA from 1 species